UAGAAGCUAGUAGACAUGCAUUAUAAUAUAAACAUGAGGAUGUGACAACUAAGAAGGGAGAAGGGAGAUGAAGUAUUAUUAGUACAACAUAAUCGUGAAUAGGGAACAAUACUAGCUACCUACCAAAUUUAUUGCUAGUUGGUGAGGCAAUAGCUUACCAAGGUGAUGAUCAGUAGCUGGUCCGAGAGGAUGAUCAGCCACACUGGGACUGAGACAUGACCCAAACUCCUUCAGGAGGCAACAGAUGGGAUUUUCCGCAAUGGGCAGAAGCCUUACGGAGCAAUGCCACGUGGAGGUAGAAGGCCCACAGGUCAUAAACGUCUCUUCUUAGAGAAGAAGCAAUAACAGUAUCCAAGGAAUAAGAUCGGCUAAUUCUGUGUCAGCAGCCACGAUAAGACAGAGGAUGCUUGCAUCA
rnacentral:ncRNA from 1 species